rnacentral:piRNA from 1 species
UCUGAUUUGAAUCAUAUGUGCGCCAAUUAU